rnacentral:rRNA from 1 species
UGCUUAACACAUGCAAGUCGAACGAGGUCUUCGGAACCUAGUGGCGGACGGGUGAGUAACACGUGAGAAUCUGGCUUCAGGACGGGGACAACAAGGGGAAACCCUUGCUAAUACCGGAUAGGCUAGAGCAUGGAGAGUCUGCGGCGAACCGAAUUAAGCUAAGUUGGGUGGGCGUUAAGAAGCACUCCAAUGCACGAUUCCGAGAAGGCUGGGUUCGAAGGGAAAUGAGUCCAGGCCCACACCUUGGGACAUAGAGAACACGGGUCCAGACUUCUUACGGGAAGGCAGUAGGUGGGGGAAAUUUUACGGCAAUUGGGCGGCAAAGCUUGAACGGAGCAAUACCGGCGUGCGGGAAGGAAGGGCCCUGGGGUCGUAAACCGGCUUUUGUAGGGGAAGAAAAUUUGACGGUACCUAACGAAUAAGCCUCGGCUAACUCCGUGCCAGCAGCCGCGGUAAGACGGAGGAGGCAAGCGUUAUCCGGAAUUUAUGGGCGUAAAGCGUCCGCAGGUGGCAUCUCAAGUCUGCUGUCAAAGCCCAGGGCUCAACUCUGGAUCGGCAGUGGAAACUGAGACGCUAGAGUACGGUAGGGGCAGAGGGAAUUUCCCAGUGUAGCGGUGAAAUGCGUAGAUAUUGGGAAGAACACCAGUAGCGAAAGCGCUCUGCUGGGCCGUAACUGACACUCAUGGACGAAAGCUAGGGGAGCGAAAGGGAUUAGAUACCCCUGUAGUCCUAGCCGUAAAACGAUGGACACUAGGUGUUGCGCGUAUCGACCCGUGCAGUGCCGUAGCCAACGCGUUAAGUGUCCCGCCUGGGGAGUACGCUCGCAAGAGUGAAACUC